rnacentral:rRNA from 1 species
CAUGUGCCAGCAGUCGCGGUAAUACAUGUGGGCCAGUUUCGUAUUAUUUUUUGGGGUAAA